rnacentral:rRNA from 1 species
AUGGCUACCGCCGCCGCCGUCGUGGAUGCUGCCAUCUCGAAACCGCGGGACACGGAGCGCCGCCCCCGCCCCCGCUUCCGCAGGCUCAAGAAGAACAGGGCCGCGGGCGCCAAUGCGGCUGUUAGCGAGGGCACCAGGGAGAACGCCGGUCCCGACCCCCACCUCCAGGUGGAGGUGGAGUACGUGCCGGAGAAGGCCGACCUCGACGUCGACGAACCCCUCCUCGGCGUCUUCACGGCCAUCUUCGAGAAAUUCAGCUUCACGGCCGCCGCCGCCGCCAAGGGCGAGGGGAACGAGAAGGAAGCAUCUAAUGAUGCCGCAAAGAAGAAGGGGUCCGAUGUUGAUUAUCAUGAGCAGGAUGCCCCAAAAAAGAAGCAGCUGCAGAGGAUGAAGAUUGCAGAGUUGAAGCAGAUAUGCAACAAGCCUGAUGUUGUUGAGGUCUGGGAUGCUACUGCCGUUGAUCCCAAAUUGCUCGUAUAUCUCAAGUCCUACAGGAAUACUGUGCCUGUUCCAAGACACUGGUCCCAGAAACGGAAGUUCUUGCAGGGACUGCUGUAA